UGGGGAAUAUUGGGCAAUGGAGGCAACUCUGACCCAGCAACGCCGCGUGAAUGAAGAAGGUCUUCGGAUUGUAAAGUUCUGUGAUGGGGGACGAAGAAAGUGACGGUACCCCAAAAGCAAGCCACGGCUAACUACGUGCCAGCAGCCGCGGUAAUACGUAGGUGGCAAGCGUUGUCCGGAAUGACUGGGCGUAAAGGGUGCGUAGGUGGUGAUGCAAGUUAGCAGCGAAAUUCCGGGGCUUAACUCCGGCGCUACUGCUAAGACUGUAUUGCUUGAGUGCAGGAGGGGUAAGUGGAAUUCCUAGUGUAGCGGUGGAAUGCGUAGAUAUUAGGAAGAACACCGGUGGCGAAGGCGACUUACUGGACUGUAACUGACACUGAGGCACGAAAGCGUGGGGAGCAAACAGG
rnacentral:rRNA from 1 species